rfam:Gorilla gorilla gorilla genomic chromosome, chr5, whole genome shotgun sequence
GCUGGGCGUGGUGGCUCACGCCUGUAAUCCCAGCACUUUAGGAGGCUGAGGCAGGUGGAUCACCUGAGGUCAGGAGUUUGAGACCAGCCUGGCCAACAUGGCGAAACCCUGUCUCUA